CACAUGCAACACAUACUAGCCCUUAAGGCUACAAAUGAGAAUUCAAUACAUUUUGUAAAAUGAUACGGAGUACUUCAUAUUAAUUUAAGAAUACUUGAUAUAAAUUACGGGUUGACUAGUAUAAUCAAUAUAUUGUUUUCAUUUAAUAUAUCCAAUUGCGACUUUUAUAUCGCCCUUGCAAUUUCAAUUUAUCACCCCUUGCCGACUGCUGAACUAAAACAAAAGCUGCUGCCAAGUCUCGAACAUGGGACUAAUUGCCAAACCCAGAAAGCUUCACUUACAGUUGCAGCUUCUUAAGAUUAAAAAGGAGCCAACUUUGAAUUUAAAUUGUUUCAACAUUUGAAUUAUGGGAUGGCAAGAAAUGUGCUUGUUAAGCAAGAAUUUGAAACCCUAUCUUUCUCAAAUUCAUCACCUUUUGCCAAAUUAUUGGAUUGGUGCAUUCGAUCAAACUCUGUGCGUCAUGGCCGCUGUGUUCAUGCUCGAAUUCUUAAAUCCCAGUUUGUAUCUGAGAUUUUUAUUCAGAAUAGGCUGGUUGAUAUGUAUGGUAAAUGUGGGUUUGUUGAGGGUGCACGUAAACUGUUCGAUAAAAUGCCUCACAGAAACAUUUUUACUUAUAAUUCAGUUUUAAGUGCUUUAACGAGGUGGGGUUUUCUUGAUGAAGCUGUUGAUGUGUUUUUGGAUAUCCCUGAACGUGAUCAGUGCUCAUGGAAUUCGAUGGUAUCCGGGUUUGCUCAGCAUGAUCGGUUUGAAGAGGCAGUCGAGUAUUUUGUGGGGAUGCAUAGAGAGGGUUUUGAGCUGAAUCAGUACUCAUUUGGUAGUGUGCUUAGUGCUUGUGCUGGGUUAGUGGAUUUGGAUAUGGGGAUUCAAGUUCAUGCAUUGAUGUUGAAGUCUCCGUUUUUUAAGGAUGUGUAUAUGGGGUCUGCUCUUGUUGAUAUGUAUGCUAAGUGUGGUGAAGUGGAAUGUGCCCGAAAGGUUUUCGAUGGGAUGGUUGAUAGGAACCGGGUGACAUGGAAUAGUUUGAUUACAUGUUAUGAACAAAAUGGUCCUGUGAGUGAAGCUGUAGAAGUGUUUGCAAAUAUGAUGGAUCAUGGGGUGGAUCCGGACGAAGUUACACUGGCUAGUGUGGUUAGUGCUUGUGCAACGUUAACGUUAGUUAGGGAAGGUAGGGAAAUUCAUGCUUUGGUUGUGAAAAAGGAUAAAUAUAGGAAUGACCUUAUCUUAAGUAAUGCAUUGGUUGAUAUGUAUGCAAAAUGUGGUAGAAUUAAUGAAGCCAAAUUCAUCUUUCAAAGUAUGCCAUCAAGAAAUGUGAUAUCUGAGACAACUAUGGUGAGUGGUUAUGCGAAAGCAGCAAAUGUGGAGACUGCAAACUUUUUGUUUAUGAAUAUGAUGGAUAAGAACAUAGUAUCCUGGAAUGCACUUAUGGCAGGUUAUGCACAAAAUGGAGAAAAUGAGAAGGCAUUGAGCUUGUUUCGCUUAUUGAAGAGGGAGUCUGUUUUACCUACUCAUUAUACUUUUGGGAAUCUCCUCAAUGCUUGUGCAAAUCUUGCAGAUCUGAAUCUUGGCAUGCAGGCUCAUGUACAUUUGUUGAAACAUGGAUUUUGCUUUCGUUCUAGACCAGAGUGUGAUAUCUUUGUGGGGAAUGCUCUUAUAGACUUGUACAUGAAAUGUGGGUCGGUUGAAGAUGCAUUGCUGGUUUUCAAAUGUAUGGUGGAAAGAGAUCAUGUUUCAUGGAAUUCAAUGAUUGUAGGCUAUGCUCAAAAUGGACAUGAGAUUGAAGCUCUUGAGAUGUUCAAGAAGAUGAUAAUAUCUGGUCAGAAACCUGAUCACAUAACAAUGAUUGGAGUUUUGUGUGCUUGUAGUCAUGCUGGUUUGUUGGAAGAGGGUCGCCACUAUUUCCGGUCAAUGUUUAAGUCGCAUGGUUUGGAACCAUGGAAGGACCAUUACACAUGUAUGGUUGAUCUGCUUGGUCGAGCUGGUUGCUUCGGUGAAGCAAUAGAUUUAAUUGAGACUAUGCCAAUUCAGCCUGAUUAUGUUGUAUGGGCUUCUCUGCUUUCUGCUUGCAAGGUUCACAGAAAUGUUGACAUGGGGAAGUACGUGGCAGAGAGGCUAUUGGGAAUCGAUCCUACUAAUUCUGGUCCUUAUGUUCUUCUGUCAAACAUGUAUGCAGAACUUGGAAGGUGGACGGAUGUAUCUAGUGUUCGUAAGCUUAUGAUACAGAAGGGAGUUGUUAAGAAGCCUGGUUGUAGCUGGAUUGAAAUACAAAGCCAUGUACAUGUGUUUAUGGUUAAAGACAAAAGUCACCCACAGAAUAAAGAGAUUUACUUGGUGUUGAAAAAUCUAACCAACCAAAUCAAACUUGCUGGAUAUGUUCCUGACCCUAUUGAUUCAGAGAUUGAUGAGGAAGAAAUCAGUUAUGCAGCUGCUUUAUAUCAUUCAACAGAUAUAUAACCAGCUGCUGGCUUUUAGAUACCUCCGUUUGGGAUGUUGAUUUUUAAGCAUAAAGCAUGGAGAUCAUCUGAACCAUGGAAAAACAAUAUACGAGGACAAGGGAUGAUUCUAUUAUGUGCCAAAGCUGUCAAGACAUUUCAAAGAAGACAAAACUAAAAUGAAGUUAUGGCUUAUGAGCCACACAUUUCCUUGCUCGUGAACCUCUAUUUAGGUAUGAUGUGCUUCUAGUGAUUAAAAAGAAGAAUAGAGGAAAAGAGAGAAGUGUAUCCAAACAAAGUAGCAAAAGUGGUUCACAAACUAUAUUUCUUCAUCUUUACUCUUUCCUUAUUUUGUUUUCAGUCUUUCUGUGGAACACAUUACAUGUUUAAGACAAUUUACGAUACUAAAUAAGGUCCUCUACUCCUUUUUUAAAAAGGUCGAACUAUCACUAGAUUUGGCAUGCUUGGUUUGGGACUAAGGCUUUGUUGUUAUUGACCCACUCCA